CUUGAUUUUCGCAAACAAAUCAAGCAAUCUGAUGGUCGACUGAAAAACAUUUUUUGUCAAGUGGAAGUGGCCAGAAAUGGAUCGCUGUGAAAUACGCGAGCAGCCGGAGUGCGCGAGAAUGCCAUUGCCAAUUAGUGAGAACAUAUUAUUUGGUUCUGAAACGAAGCAUCCCAACGACCGCAACCUUCCCGGUAGGAAAGGAGUAGUAGAAGUCGGAAAGACGGAAUUUCCAGAGAUAAAUCCACGGAGAUGUAACCAGAUAAAUAUCAACAUAAAACCUGCCUAAAUUCAAAAACAAAACGGCAGUUACAGGAGGACGAAUCAAGUAAAAAAAAGUAAUGAAAUGUAUUUAAAACAAAGAGAACAAAACUCGGAAAAAAUAUAAAAAUAUUUUAGAUAAUAAAACAAUAAUGUAUUUUCCUAUUUAUAUUAAACCAAAUAAUCGAUUGAAACAAACAUACAACUCUUUUUGAAUCAACAAUAAAUCUCUUUUAAAAACAAAAAAAACCGACUUAAUCCACCUACAGUGAAC